rnacentral:rRNA from 1 species
GACGUAGGGCGCGAGCGUUGUCCGGAUUUAUUGGGCGUAAAGAGCUCGUAGGCGGCUCGUUGCGUCGGCUGUGAAAACCCGCAGCUCAACUGUGGGCUUGCAGCCGAUACGGGCGGGCUAGGAUUCGGUAGGGGAGACUGGAAUUCCUGGUGUAGCGGUGAAAUGCGCAGAUAUCAGGAGGAACACCGGUGGCGAAGGCGGCAUCCUGGACCAACACUGACACUGAGGAGCGAAAGCCAGGGGAGCAAACGGG